GCCUCUGUGGUGGAAUUGGUAGACGCGCUGGAUUCAAAAUCCAGUGCCCGCAAGGGCGUGGGAGUUCGAUUCUCCCCGGAGGCACCA
rnacentral:tRNA from 1 species